UAUUCAGCCAUGCCAAUUGACUUACUACCCUCUCCAUAGCCAAAGGAAUGCCCAAAUUUCCACAGAAAGGCAUUUUUAUAUGAGGAAGCUCAUCCCUGUGGACCUUUCUCUUGAAUGCCUACUAUGAGUCACUCAGCAAGAGAGGCACCCAGCUCCCUCAGGGUCUGCAGUGCCUCGGAGGCCCACUUUCCUCCAUGAAACAGUCUCUGAACAUAUUAUUCCUCACGGAUGAUCACCUUCUUAACUCCAUCCAGAUGGAGUGUGCCUCUGUCUCACUAUUUAGCGUUGUCCUAGAAAAUACCGAGUAAUUGUUUCAUGCGUAUACAUCAUGUUUCCUCAAGUAGAAUCUAACUUUAUACAAUCAAAAGUGUCAGAUUGAUGGAUGAGUAGCAGAUAGGUAAAUUUCUGAUAAAGAGAAUUAAAUUAAGUGUUAAUUGUAGAAUCUAGUGAUGGGUUUAUGGGUAUUAACUGUAAAAAUCUUUCAUCUUUUCUGUAUGUUUGAUAACUUUCAUAUAAAAAUAAUAAAAACUUUAGUUUAUCUUC
rnacentral:antisense_RNA from 1 species